UAUGUAGGGCGCAAGCGUUGUCCGGAUUUAUUGGGCGUAAAGAGCUCGUAGGCGGUCUGUCGCGUCGGCUGUGAAAACCCCCGAGGCUCAACCUCGGGCCUGCAGUCGAUACGGGGCAGACUAGAGUGUGGUAGGGGGAGACUGGAAUUCCUGGUGUAGCGGUGAAAAUGCGCAGAUAUCAGGGAGGAACACCGGUGGCGAAGGCAAUCCCCCUGGACCUGUACUGACGCUCAUGCACCGAAAAAGCGU
rnacentral:rRNA from 1 species